AGAAGAACAACAGGGAUUGCCCUAGUAACGGCGAGUGAAGCGGCAACAGCUCAAAUUUGAAAUCUGGCUCUCGGGCCCGAGUUGUAAUUUGUAGAGGAUGCUUUUGAUGCGGUGCCUUCCGAGUUCCCUGGAACGGGACGCCAUAGAGGGUGAGAGCCCCGUCUGGUUGGAUGCCAAAUCUCUGUAAAGCUCCUUCAACGAGUCGAGUAGUUUGGGAAUGCUGCUCUAAAUGGGAGGUAUAUGUCUUCUAAAGCUAAAUACCGGCCAGAGACCGAUAGCGCACAAGUAGAGUGAUCGAAAGAUGAAAAGCACUUUGAAAAGAGAGUUAAAAAGUACGUGAAAUUGUUGAAAGGGAAGCGUUUAUGACCAGACUUGGGCUUGGUUAAUCAUCUGGGGUUCUCCCCAGUGCACUUUUCCAGUCCAGGCCAGCAUCAGUUUUCCCCGGGGGAUAAAGGCGGCGGGAAUGUGGCUCUCUUCGGGGAGUGUUAUAGCCCGCCGUGUAAUACCCUGGGGGGGACUGAGGUUCGCGCAUCUGCAAGGAUGCUGGCGUAAUGGUCAUCAACGACCCGUCUUGAAACACGGACCAAGGAGUCGUCUUCGUAUGCGAGUGUUCGGGUGUCAAACCCCUACGCGUAAUGAAAGUGAACGCAGGUGAGAGCUUCGGCGCAUCAUCGACCGAUCCUGAUGUUCUCGGAUGGAUUUGAGUAAGAGCAUACGGGGCCGGACCCGAAAGAAGGUGAACUAUGCCUGUAUAGGGUGAAGCCAGAGGAAACUCUGGUGGAGGCUCGCAGCGGUUCUGACGUGCAAAUCGAUCGUCAAAUAUGGGCAUGGGGGCGAAAGACUAAUCGAACCUUCUAGUAGCUGGUUUCCGCCGAG
rnacentral:rRNA from 1 species